AGCGGUGGAGCAUGUGGUUUAAUUCGAAGCAACGCGAAGAACCUUACCAAAUCUUGACAUCCUUUGACAACUCUAGAGAUAGAGCCUUCCCCUUCGGGGGACAAAGUGACAGGUGGUGCAUGGUUGUCGUCAGCUCGUGUCGUGAGAUGUUGGGUUAAGUCCCGCAACGAGCGCAACCCUUAAGCUUAGUUGCCAUCAUUAAGUUGGGCACUCUAAGUUGACUGCCGGUGACAAACCGGAGGAAGGUGGGGAUGACGUCAAAUCAUCAUGCCCCUUAUGAUUUGGGCUACACACGUGCUACAAUGGACAAUACAAAGGGCAGCGAAACCGCGAGGUCAAGCAAAUCCCAUAAAGUUGUUCUCAGUUCGGAUUGUAGUCUGCAACUCGACUACAUGAAGCUGGAAUCGCUAGUAAUCGUAGAUCAGCAUGCUACGGUGAAUACGUUCCCGGG
rnacentral:rRNA from 1 species